rnacentral:rRNA from 1 species
GCCUGCAAGUGAUAUUGAAUUCGAUACUGGAACGGUCUGGAAAGUCCGGCUACAGAGGGUGACAGCCCCGUACGGGAAAUUGGGUUCAAGGUACUGAGCUUGCGAGAAGUAGAGCGGGACACGUGAAAUCCUGCUCGAAGAUGGGGGGACCAUCCUCCAAGGCUAAAUACUCGUAAUCGACCGAUAGCGAACCAGUACUGUGAAGGAAAGGCGAAAAGAACCCCGGGAGGGGAGUGAAAUAGAUCCUGAAACCGCAUACAUACAAACAGUAGGAGCCCGCAAGGGUGACUGCGUACCUUUUGCAUAAUGGGUCAGCGACUUACGUUCAAUGGCAAGCUUAACCGAGUAGGGGAGGCGCAGCGAAAGCGAGUCCGAACAGGGCGAUAUGAGUCGUUGGGCGUAGACCCGAAACCAGAUGAUCUAUCCAUGGCCAGGCUGAAGGUGUGGUAACACACACUGGAGGGCCGAACCGACUAGUGUUGCAAAAUUAGCGGAUGAGCUGUGGAUAGGGGUGAAAGGCUAAACAAAUCUGGAGAUAGCUGGUUCUCCCCGAAAACUAUUGAGGUAGUGCCUCGUGUAUGGCUCCAGGGGGUAGAGCACUGUUAUGGCUAGGGGGACAUGGCGUCUUACCAAACCAUGGCAAACUCCGAAUACUUGGAAGUCUGAGCACGGGAGACAGAGCACCGGGUGCUAACGUCCGGACUCAAAAGGGAAACAACCCAGACCGCCGGCUAAGGUCCCUAAUAUUGACUAAGUGGAAAACGAAGUGGGAAGGCUAAGACAGUCAGGAAGUUGGCUUAGAAGCAGCCAUCCUUCAAAGAAAGCGUAAUAGCUCACUGAUCGAGUCUUCCUGCGCGGAAGAUGUAACGGGGCUAAGUCAAUAACCGAAGCCGCGGAUUCGCAGCAAUGCGAGUGGUAGGGGAGCGUUCUGUAAGCCUGCGAAGGCGGAUCUGCGAGGACCGCUGGAGGUAUCAGAAGUGCGAAUGCUGACAUGAGUAACGUUAAAGCGGGUGAAAAGCCCGCUCGCCGCAAGCCCAAGGUUUCCUGCUCUACGUUCAUCGGAGCAGGGUGAGUCGGCCCCUAAGGUCAGGCUGAGAAGCGUAGCUGAUGGGAAGCUGGUUAAUAUUCCAGCACCGAUUUCAAGUGCGAAGGGGGGACGGAGUCCUGAAGGUCAUCCGGGUGUUGGAUAUCCCGGUUUACGAGCGUAGGAGGUUGACAGGCAAAUCCGUCAACGAAUCUCCAAGGCGAAGGAUCGAGGUUGAGAGAUCAACUGAAGUGACUGAAUGGGCUUCCAGGAAAAGCCUCUAAGCAUCAGCUUGGAAUUGACCGUACCGCAAACCGACACUGGUGGGCGAGCUGAAUAUGCUCAGGCGCUUGAGAGAACUCAGGAGAAGGAACUCGGCAAAUUGACACCGUAACUUCGGGAUAAGGUGUGCCUUUGUAGUGUGAAGGGAGAAACACCCCGAGCAUGAAGAGGCCUCAGAGAAUCGGUGGCUGCAACUGUUUACUAAAAACACAGCACUCUGCAAAGAUGAAAGUCGACGUAUAGGGUGUGAUGCCUGCCCGGUGCUGGAAGAUUAAUUGAUGGGGUGCAAGCUCCUGAUCGAAGUCCCAGUAAACGGCGGCCGUAACUAUAACGGUCCUAAGGUAGCGAAAUUCCUUGUCGGGGAAGUUCCGACCUGCACGAAUGGCAUAAUGAUGGCCACACUGUCUCCUCCUGAGACUCAGUGAAGUUGAAAUGUUUGUGAUGAUGCAAUCUCCCCGCGGCUAGACGGAAAGACCCCAUGAACCUUUACUGCAGCUUUGCAUUGGACUUUGAACCGAUCUGUGUAGGAUAGGUGGGAGGCAGUGAAGCUAGGACGCCAGUCUUAGCGGAGCCAACCUUGAAAUACCACCCUGAUUUGUUUGAGGUUCUAACCUAGGAGCGUGAUCCGCUUCGGGGACCGUGCAUGGUAGGCAGUUUGACUGGGGCGGUCUCCUCCUAAAGGGUAACGGAGGAGUGCGAAGGUACGCUAGGUACGGUCGGAAAUCGUGCUGAUAGUGCAAUGGCAAAAGCGUGCUUGACUGCGAGACCGACAAGUCGAGCAGAUACGAAAGUAGGUCAUAGUGAUCCGGUGGUUCCGCAUGGAAGGGCCAUCGCUCAACGGAUAAAAGGUACUCCGGGGAUAACAGGCUGAUA